AAGACUCAAUGUAACUGGCGACGAGUGGGAGUAACCACAAUGGAGCAUUGAGCUAUACGGCCGGUCGCCUGGGCAAAAGAG
rfam:Paenibacillus sp. Soil750 contig_13, whole genome shotgun sequence.